rnacentral:rRNA from 1 species
AAACGCUUGAAGUCAGACUUGCUAUUUGGUGUUCAGCCGCAAGGUGUAUUCAUCAAUUUGCAGGCCAGCAUCAGUUUUUGGGGGUAGAAAAGGGUAUUGAGAACGUGGCUGUCUCGGCAGUGUUAUAGCUCUUUACUGGAUCUAUCCUUGGGGACUGAGGAACGCAGUACGCUUUUUGCAAUCUCUUCGGGGAUUUCGUACUUAGGAUGCUGGUGGAAUGGCUUUAAACGA